UAGACGCAGCAACGCCGCGUGGGUGAUGAAGGGCUUCGGGUCGUAAAACCCUUUUCCUGGGGGAAGAGUAAGGACGGUACCCCAGGAAUAAGCCUCGGCUAACUAUGUGCCAGCAGCCGCGGUAAUACAUAGGAGGCAAGCGUUAUCCGGAUUUACUGGGCGUAAAGAGCGUUGAGGCGGCUUCGUAAGUUGGACGUGAAAGCUCCCGGCUUAACUGGGAGAGGCCGUUCAAUACUGCGGGGCUUGAGGACAGCAGAGGGGGGUGGAAUUUCCGGUGUAGUGGUGAAAUGCGUAGAUAUCGGAAGGAACACCAGUGGCGAAGGCGGCCCCCUGGGCUGCUCCUGACGCUGAAGGCGAAAGCUAGGGUAGCGAACGGGAUUAGAAACCCCGGUAGUCCUAGCCGUAAACGAUGGAUACUAGGUGUAGGAGGUUAAAAUUCCUUCUGUGCCGGAGCUAACGCGUUAAGUAUCCCGCCUGGGGAGUACGGUCGCAAGGCUAAAACUCAAAGGAAUUGACGGGGGCCCGCACAAGCAGCGGAGCGUGUGGUUUAAUUCGAUGCAACGCGAAGAACCUUACCAGGGCUUGACAUGUAGGUAGUAGUGAAGCGAAAGCGGAACGAUCCUUCGGGAAGCCUACACAGGUGCUGCAUGGCUGUCGUCAGCUCGUGCCGUGAGGUGUUAGGUUAAGUCCUGUAACGAGCGCAACCCCUGCCGUUAGUUGCCAGCGAGUAAAGUCGGGGACUCUAACGAGACUGCCGGUGUUAAACCGGAGGAAGGUGGGGAUGACGUCAAGUCCUCAUGGCCUUUAUGCCCAGGGCUGCAAACGUGCUACAAUGGCGUGUACAAACCGACGCAAGACCGCGAGGUGGAGCAAAUCGGAAAAAGCACGCCCCAGUUCGGAUUGGAGUCUGCAACUCGACUCCAUGAAG
rnacentral:rRNA from 1 species